GUUAAAUCACUGUCAAAAGGCUAUUAAGUACACAAGAUGGGGACUCCUGGUUCUGGAAGGAAAAGAACACCUGUGAAAGACCGAUUUUCCGCAGAAGAUGAAACUUUGAGUAACAUUGCCAGAGAGUUGGAUGAAAAAUCUGACAAACAGUAUGCUGAAAAUUAUACACGACCUUCAUCUCGAAAUUCUGCCUCAGCAACAACCCCUCUAAGUGAAAACUCAUCCAGAGGAGGAAGUGGGGACACCAGCAGCUUAACAGAUCCAGACACCUCAUUAAGUGAAUUACAGGAAUCUUUGUCUGAAGUGGAAGAAAAAUACAAGAAAGCCAUGGUUUCCAAUGCACAGUUAGACAAUGAGAAGAACAAUCUGAUCUACCAGGUAUAUACACUCAAGGAUGUUAUUGAAGAGCAGGAGGAACAGAUGGCGGAGUUUUAUAGAGAAAAUGAAAAAUCAAAGGAGUUGGAAAGGCAGAAACAUAUGUGUAGUGUGCUGCAGCAUAAGAUGGAAGAACUUAAAGAAGGCCUUCGGCAAAGAGAUGAGCUUAUUGAGAAACAUGGCUUGGUUAUAAUCCCCGAUGGCACUCCCAGUGGUGAUGUCAGUCAUGAACCAGUGGUUGGAGCCAUCACUGUUGUGUCUCAGGAAGCUGCUCAGGUCUUGGAGUCAGCAGGAGAAGGGCCGUUAGAUGUAAGGCUAUGAAAACUUGCUGGAGAAAAGGAAGAACUGCUGUCAUAGAUUAGAAAACUGAAGCUUCAGUUAGAAGAGGAACGACAGAAAUGCUCCAGGAAUGAUGGCAUAGUGGGUGACCUGGCAGGACUGCAGAAUGGCUCAGACUUGCAGUUCAUCGAAAUGCAGAGAGAUGCCAACAGACAAAUUAGCGAAUACAAAUUUAAGCUUUCAAAAGCAGAACAGGAUAUAACCACCUUGAAGCAAAGUAUUGGCCGGCUUGAGGGACAGGUUACAAGAUGUAAAACUGCUGCUGAGACUGCUGAGAAAGUUGAAGAUGAACUGAAAGCAGAAAAAAGGAAGCUACAACGAGAGUUACGAACAGCACUGGACAAGAUUGAGAAGAUGGAGAUGACCAAUAGCCACCUGGCCAAGCGGCUGGAGAAGAUGAAGACCAAUAGGACAGCACUUCUGGCCCAGCAGUAGGAAGACCGCCCUUCGGCCUGGGUGCUGCUCCUUGGGGCCCUACCUAGAGGGACUGACUUUUGUCCAUUGACAUAAACCCCUUUUAGUAGUGUUUUGAGUUUUGUCGUUAAAACAGCCACCUUUGUAUUUUGUAAUUUAUGAGCGAAUGAAGCCGGUUUGAAUCUUCGUGAAUGGAAAAAAAAAUGAUUUUUUUAAGACAAAAAAAAAAUUUAUUGCCAUAAAUUAAUCCAGUAGGUAUAUCUAAGAAAGCACGCAUCAGUUGGUUAGGGCAAUAAGCGCCUCUACCACAUUGCCCAUGUGUCCCGCAAGCUGCGUUCUGCUGCUGCUCGAGAUAUCUCCAUCUCAGUCAUUAUCAGUUCCAGAUCUUCCUUCUUGAUAGUGACUUUUGCCAGUUCUUUCUCCCGCUCCUGUUUGGCUUUCUGCUCCCGGGACCUUCCGUCUCCAAUCACAGACAUGGCCGUCUCCAGACGGUACUUACAUAAUACCUAAGUAAGUGCAACACCAGGCUGUGUCUUUCUAUCACGGAUUUCCACCUGGACACGUGGAACCCAGCCUGGCCUGUCUGCACAAUCCUGACUGGACUCCUGAGCUUCAUGGUGGAGAAGGGCCCUACCCUGGGCAGCAUAGAGAUGUCAGACUUCACGAAAAGACAGCUAGCAGCACAGAGGUCAGCCUUUAAUUUAAAAGAUAAAGUCUUUUGUGAAUUAUUUCCUGAAGUUGUGGAGGAAAUUAAACAAAAACAGAAAGCACAAGACGAACUCAGUAGCAGACCCCAGACUCUCCCCUUGCCAGACGUGGUUCCAGACGGGGAGACACACCUUGUCCAGAACGGGAUUCAGCUUCUCGACGGGCACGCGCCAGGGGCCGUCCCAAACCUCCCGAGGCUCCUGCAGGCCAACGGGCACCGCGGACUCCUGGGCGGCGCCCUGGCGAACUUGUUUGUUGUAGUCGGGUUUGCAGCCUUCGCCUACACCGUCAAGUACGUGCUGAGGAGCAUCGCGCAGGAGUGAGGCCUGGCACCGAGACCAGGGCGCCACGGAGGGCGCGUGGCACGAGCGUGACCUGGGCCGGCCGGACACGCUGCCCAGCACAGGCAGACCCACCAGGCUCCUGGGUUUCGGUUUUAAAAACCUGGAAAGGAAAGCAAAAGCCAAAAUGUGUGACUGGGCUUAGGAGGAGACUGGAGACUCAGCCCUGCCCUGGCCACGUGCCGCCCGGGCUGGCGUGGAGGGGCUGCUGGCGUGCUGGUUUUGUAGCUUAUCUUCUGUGUUGUCUUUGGAUCUGUUUUAGUGAACCCGUUUUUCAUU